AAAAUCCGGGUGGCAAUGGGAAGCCGUGAUGCGGAGCGAAAUAAAGUAGCGAAGUCCGUGAGCCAUGCGUCAAGAAAAGCCGCUAUUGUUUAUACCGUACCCGUACCGUAAACCGACACAGGUGGAUGAGGAGAGAAUCCUAAGGCCGGCGGAAGAAGCAUUGUCAAGGAACUCGGCAAAAUGGCCCCGUAACUUAGGGAUAAGGGGUGCCUGGGAAACCAGGCCGCAGAGAAUAGGCUCAAGCAACUGUUUAGCAAAAACACAGGUCUAUGCGAAACCGAAAGGUGAGGUAUAUGGGCUGACGCCUGCCCGGUGCUGGAAGGUUAAGAGGAGAGGUUAGCGCAAGCGAAGCUUUGAAUUUAAGCCCCAGUAAACGGCGGCCGUAACAAUAACGGUCCUAAGGUAGCGAAAUUCCUUGUCGGGUAAGUUCCGACCCGCACGAAAGGCGUAAUGAUUUGAGCGCUGUCUCGACAAUGCAUCCGGUGAAAUUGAAGUACCAGUGAAGAUGCUGGUUACCUGCGCCAGGACGGAAAGACCCCAUGGAGCUUUACUCCAGUCUGGUACUGGGACUCGGUAUUGCAUGUACAGGAUAGGUGGGAGGCUAGGAGAUGGUAACGCCAGUUGCCAUGGAGCCGCUGUUGGGAUACCACCCUUGCAGUAUUGGGUUUCUAACCAGCCGCCGUGACCCGGCGGUGGGACAAUGCCAGACGGGGAGUUUGACUGGGGCGGUCGCCUCCGAAAGGGUAUCGGAGGCGCCCAAAGGUUCCCUCAGAAUGGACGGAAACCAUUCGAAGAGUGCAAAGGCAGAAGGGAGCUUGACUGCGACACCGACGGGUGGAGCAGGUACGAAAGUAGGGCUUAGUGAUCCGGUGGUAUUAAGUGGGAAUGCCAUCGCUCAACGGAUAAAAGCUACCCUGGGAUAACAGGCUUAUCACUCCCAAGAGUUCACAUCGACGGAGUGGUUUGGCACCUCGAUGUCGGCUCAUCGCAUCCUGGGGCUGUAGUAGGUCCCAAGGGUUGGGCUGUUCGCCCAUUAAAGCGGUACGCGAGCUGGGUUCAGAACGUCGUGAGACAGUUCGGUCCCUAUCCGGCGUGGGCGUAGGAUAUCUGAGAGGAGCUGUCCUUAGUACGAGAGGACCGGGAUGGACGGGCCGCUGGUGCAUCGGUUAGACUGCCAAGUCUACGGCCGAGUAGCCAAGCCCGGAAGGGAUAAACGCUGAAGGCAUCUAAGCGUGAAGCCCCCCUUAAGAUGAGAUAUCCCAUUCGAAAGAAGUAAACCCCCUUGAAGACGACGAGGUAGAUAGGGCAGAGGUGGAAGUGCAGCAAUGCAUGGAGCUGACUGUUACUAAUCGGGUGAGGGCUUGAUC
rnacentral:rRNA from 1 species